UACGUAGGGGGCAAGCGUUGUCCGGAUUUAUUGGGCGUAAAGCGCUCGCAGGUGGUUCGUCGCGUCGUGCGUGAAAGACCCCGGCUCAACUGGGGGAGGUCGUGCGAUACGGGCGGACUGGAGGCCAGUAGGGGGAUGCGGAAUUCCCGGUGUAGCGGUGAAAUGCGUAGAGAUCGGGAGGAACACCAGUGGCGAAGGCGGCUACCUGGACCAGCACUGACACUGAGGCACGAAAGCGUGGGGAGCAAACAGG
rnacentral:rRNA from 1 species